CUGUCUCGAACCGCGCUCGGCUUUGCAUAAAUACAAGUCUUGAGCUGGACAUACAAAUUUGUAUGAAUGAGACUAGAUGAGGUCUUCGACGAUUUUUGAGUACGGGCCAGAUGCCAUGGUUACAGACUGUGCUCGUAAUUUAUCUGUCGAUACAUUA
rnacentral:snoRNA from 1 species